GAGCAGCUGUGGUAGGUGGUGGUGCAGCCAUAUAUGGUGGAGCUGAAGCCAUGGCUGUUUGAAGUAAAGAGGAGCAAAGAGCCAGUGAAAGAAUCAGGAAUGAUGCAAGCAAGAGCUUCAUUUUAGUUAUUUUGAUUGAUAUUUUACACUUCAAGAAAUAGUACUAACUAAGGCGAUGAGAAUUAGCUUAGGAAGCUAUGGGCUUGAAAGAAUUCAGAGGAGUAUUUAUAGUGGUGGAUUGAAGGUGGAAGUCAUGUGGAAAUUUGAAGCAAAAGGGUAUUUUAUUAAUAAAAUUAAAAGGCCAAUGAACAAUUUCAUUACAGUCUGUAAUUUAAGGAGGCACUUAUUGGGGAGGGCAUUAUAGAUUUUUGUCUUGAUUAGCUUAUUAUAUUUCUACUCAGGUUUAUGCUAUACAUAGGGAAGUUUGCAAGUACCUUCCUGAGGAAGGAGAUAAUCCUUUUUUAAGGUUAAUUAAUUAGGUUUUGACUAACACUUGUGAAGUUCUGAUGAUUUAUAAAAUUUUAGUACCAACAAUUUGAAAGGGUACAAGCUGUACUGGCUUCUCCGAUGUAGCCCAUUUGCAUAUGUUUAUUGAUCUUUUUUUGCUCUUCCUUUCUGGCUCGCCAGAAUCUCUAUGUAACUUGAAAAAUAAUUUCCAACUUCAAGUUAAAAGGGAACAAAGAAAUGAAAACUGAUAUAGACAGGGAUAGAGAAUCUCAAUUAGUUUGGCGCACAAUUCCAGGCUGUGGCUUCCCCCAACUUGCACUUAUUUAAAUUAUUUCCUUUUUAUAUGUGUGGGAACUAGAGGAGGAAGAGAAUAGACAGGCCCCCGAAGGUUCCAGGAAAUUGGACUCAACCUCCUGAGAUUCCUCUUUAAAUAUUUUGAUGUUCAAAAAAAAAAAAAAAAAAAAAAAAAAAAAAAAAAAAAAAAAAAAAAAAAAUUUUUUUUUUUUUCCCCCGCCGCACAAAGAAAAUAUUUUGUUGCGAAUGAACAAGAUAUUGAGGAAUUGUCCAUAAUUUUACUGUCACCUGAGGAAAAUAAACUUAGAAGCUUAUGAAAAUAAAUUAUAUAGCUACAAGGCAACAAAAUCUAGAAUUCAAUGGCUAAAUGCACAAGAAGUUUCAUUAAUAACAAUGUGAAUUCUUACAGCAGAAUUUUUUAUAUUCAAGCAUGGAACAAUUUAAAUACAUCGGAUUAGUGAUACUGAAGAUGCAAACCUAUAUACGUUUAAACUGCUGAGAGUUGUGGCCGUGAUAAAACAAUAAGGAAGCACGUCUUUGCGAACAGAAAGAACUCAGGCUUUGACAUGUACUAUAAAUUCUUCCCAAUAACUUGCAAAACAAAACAACAUUAAAAUGUCAAUCCACAUAGACACAUGUAUGCCUAUCUAUAUAUGUAAUAUGAUGAAAAAUAAACAAAAAGAUACCAAUGUCAACCUCCCAAACUAGAGGAAGCACGGAUAUGUUGACCAUAAGAAUGUUCUUUGGCAGAGCGACUGGAAGUGAGUAAAUUGACCUGCAGAAGGCCCUCAACAAUUAGAGUUGACAGAAUGACACAAAGGUAGGUAGCAAAGAAAAAUUGGUCAAGAAAGUUACCUUCACGAUGUCACAUUUGGCGCUUGGUCGCCUGGAGGCAGCUAGGACACUCAUGUGAAAUAGCUGUUUUCAAGAACACAAUGAUAAACAAAGCAAUACACGUGAAAAUUUUAUCUAACAAUUAACUUCUACUGUUGUUUGCGGUACUUGCAAUGGAAACUAGUACAAAACUUAAAGAAAGGAUGAACUGGACAUGAAAGCAAAGCAAUGUGAUUUCUGACUCACAGCAGUUAUUAGUUAAUAAAGAAAAGUUAUAUUUUCUUGGUUUGUUGCAUAGGAAAUUACCCUAUAAGGAUCGCUUCUUAAGGACUGCACAAACAGAGAAUUCCCCGAGUCACUAUCCUGCAAUGGAAUAAACACCAGAACUCUUAAACAUGACAAGUCAUAAACAGCAGAAGUGGAUGCAAAUAAAUGCUCCAAAAGGAUAAAACUGAAAUUAAUCAAUAGUCAUGCCUCCAAAUAAACAUCCUUGAGUCGCCUUCCAGUUUGAGCACAGCAGACGCGGACAACAUUUUCAUCACAGCUACCACUUAUGAUGUAAUCCCUCCCAUUCAUGUAAUAGGAGCGAGUAUAAUUAUGAGAACUUCCAGUUGCAGCUAUCUCAAAGUUCAUGUGAACCCUACCAUCUACUGCCAGAAGUUGUUUGACCUGACACAAGUUAAAAGUGGGAUAUUAUCUUGAACUCAGUGAAAGAAGCCAACAAGUUUGUUAUUACUAUGUUAAGGUGGCAUGCUUACAUCCUAAGAGGUAAACAAGGAAUUCUGCUUGAUGAUUAGUAGGGAACAUCUACAGUUAGAUGCGUUAAUGACAUUGGACUAGUGAAAUUAUGCUCAUCUUAUCAAACCCCUUUAUAAGAUUAGGGAGUCUACAUCCACACAAUGAUUUAGAAUUUUUCUUUAUCUAGUACGUUUUAUCCUUGCCCAACUGAAUAUAUACAUACAUAAUGGAUAUGAAAAUACCUCAUUGUCAACAGCUGAAACAAGCAGAUAUUUGUCAUCAGGAGAAAAGCAAACCAUCACAUUCCCUCUUGAACUUGAGGCUGUAUAACAAGGCCUCUCUGGUUUUUGUCUCAAAUCCCAAAGCUUGACAUCAUGGUCAAAUGACGAAGUAGCAAAUAGGAAGGGAGAACAGUGUGCAAAUUUAGCAACAUUAAUGGGUUCUCGAUGCAUAUUAGUAAACAACUGUAUGCGUCUUCUACUACUAAUGUCAUAUAGGGCAACAUCCUUUGAGUACCCACUGGCAAGAAACUGAUCGUCUGUGGAAUUGACAUGAACAGAAGUCAAUGGCUCAAAAUCAUCAAAACUGACCACUCCUGUCAUGCAAUUUAUAUCUGCAACUUUUGGUGGCAUAUGAUUGAUGUCAAACAGCUUCAAGGAACCAUUAUCAGAACCAGCUAGCAACUGUUCAAUGCAUACAAAAAGCCUUCAGCAAAAAUUGAACUUCUAAGAAUCAAAAUGAAGCAAUAAAUUAGAUGUCCUUCCCAUUAUAUAGCAUUUAUGAAUUACUUCCAAAGACAAGUUCUAGCAACAAAUUAUCUAUCCUAUUGAUACAAUUCUAGUAUCUUUUAGGUGUAAGCAUGCAACUGGCUGAUUUCCCUCAUCCAAAGAACAAAUGUAAAAUAUUUCAAGGUUUAAAUUGCUGCGGAAAGUAUACAAGAUACUGCUGUUGGAAAUAUCACCUUGGAAUUCAGGUGUGAUCUUGACCUACAAAGUCAUCGAGUAAAAUAAACCAAAUCCAAAGACAACCGCAAUUUAUUGUUGAACCAUAUUGAACUUACGAUACCAAACACAAGUGCCUUAGAAACAGAUAAAAGAAAAGGGUCGAAAGUGCAAGACAAAAGUAUUACAAGCCUAAAAUGCUUUAUGGAAAUGGCAUACCUUUGAUGGAUACAUUUUGAGCCAACAAAGACCCAGAAUACUGUUCAUUGCUCCACUGGAAGGAACAUAACCAACAGUCUUCCCAUUUUCAUGAUUAGUGACAACUACUUCACCAUCUAGAGUUCCAAAAACCAUAAGACUAGGAUCAGAUGGAUGAUAUUCGAAUUGUCUAGGGCGAAGACGCUUACUUCCUUCUUUAUGCAGAUGGCUCAAGCUAGACAAAGGGUGCAAGAGGGGCCAUGCAACAGAACCCAGCUUGGCAGCACUAAGAGAUCGUGGAAAGAAAAUUUGACUCUUUCCAUGAGGAUAUUGCUUCUUUGUCUUCUGGAAAUUUGGGCAGGCACCACUUGCUCUCAUUUCACGUUUCUGCAGGAUACUGACAAUGCUUUCUUUGUAUUGUCGGUUAUAGGCUAAGUACUCAUAGAAUUUUGAAGAGAUGAUCUUCGCCAUUUUCUUGUCCAGCUUUCCAACGGGCAAAUUAUCUAAAACCUCCAAAUGAGGCAAUGAAGCAAUUAUAUACUCCCUAUAAUGUUUCUCAAAGCAGAUAGGCGAUGGGUGGUGUGAACUGUAAAUGUUGUUUAACUUAGUACAGUUUUUCUUCAAAUCCCACAUGCAUCCACUUGCAAACAACUCAUUUUUGUCUUCAAUCUAUCAUUCGCCAAAAGAAACCUGUUAGACAAACUAAAAAAAUCCAUCACCAAACAUCUAUAUUUCAAACUUUCCCCCUUCUAAGCAUUUAAUAUGCUUACCUCAUUUUGCAACUUGACUUUUCCAUUCAAAUUAGGAAGCAUGCUGGAUGAUAGUUCCAGCAAAUCUAUUCUUUGCAGGCAGCUUGAAAUUUUAUCUUCAGUAGUGACUGAAAAGUUAUCAGUUCCUCCAUUAACCUCAUUACAUGUAAAUGCAUUUUUGGGAGAAAGCAAGUCACAACAUGACAUUGCAUGAGGAGUGUAAAUAGUUGUGUCAGCAGCAUUGACAGGCAGCAGUUCAAUGGAUGAACCUCUAUCCAACUGAUGCAGGACAUUUGCUUUGUUACCAAAUGAUGCAGGACAUGGCCCAGUGUCCUUGCAACACAAGCAAUUUUGGAAUCGUAGUUCUAGCAAAGAAGGAAGUUUCAAUAAGGCAGCAGUGGUUGUCCAGAGAUCAAUCACUCUUGUCUCACACAUUGAGAGACGCAUCAGAUUGGGCAUGGAAGAAAAACAGUCCCUAUGCAAACUAGCGAUUGAAGUGCAAAAAUCCAGAUUUAAGGUGUGCAAUCGCAUAAAACUUCCAACCAUGUUGAGCUUUUGGAUGUGAGUGGACCUCAAGCUUAAAAUUUCACAAGAUAAGCCAUGGUGACUUAGAUCCCUGGAAAGGUCCCACAAACAACGAUGUUAAAAUAUGAUUUAGAUAGAGAAUACUCCACCUUUCUUUUCAUCCUUUUCAAGCAUAGUUAAUUGGUCACUAGACUCACUGCAUGAUAUAAUGUUUCCUUAGCAAAAGAGGAUGCUAUAUGCUUUUCAUAGAAAGACAAAAUUAACUGUCAUGAACCCAGAAAGACACAGGACACAAAUGUUGGGGCUCUGUAAACUGCUGAAGCAGGGUCUUGGGAUCCUAGAUAAGGCCCUCACUUGAGCAUUCAAAUCUUCAUAAUUGUUAACCAAUACAGAAAGUGCCCACUAGCCGUCCUAAUGGUCUUUCCAUCCAGAUUCUAAAAAUAUGACGGCAGUGGUCCUUUUCAAGUUAUUUUAAGUGAUAAUCUCAUCUCUUAAAACUCAUAAAGUGAUUAGAACUUCUAGCAUCACCAUCAUUUUUCUCUCUCUUCAUAUUCUUUUUUCUUUUUUCUCUUUCUUAAGGAAUUCAAGGUUGGGAAAUUGGAAACGGCAGAAAUCUAUCAGGUAAAGGAAAAUAAAAUAUAGAAGAUAAUGCAUUAUGACUAUGGUAAAUGACAAAGACAAUAAGGACAAGCAAUAAAACAGAAUGGUGAUACCAACCAUAAAAAGUCCUCUUCCAAUGACAUUUCCUGAAGAUCAACAACCCGGAGUUUUAGAUGAAUUGCUCGCAACAAGGAAAGAACAUAUUCUUCCUUCAAAUUGCAAUGCGAUUCAUUGACUAUGUCAACUGCAUCAAUGUCAGAAGAGUCUACUGCUAGGAACAUAUCAAUCAGAGGAGGAAUAUCAUCAUUCUUGAGCUGAUUUAGCAAAACCUCAAAGGUACACUUCUUCUGGAAGAACUUCUGUAUUGUGGCCUAAAUAAAAGAAGAAAAGUUAUGCUUGCCACAAAAUAGUUUCUUCAAUGCAAAAACUGUACAAGUUUGUUACUGGAUCAAUCUACCAGCCAGUGAAGCAAAGAUGAUUAAUAAUCAUAGAGAAGAAAGCUAAGUUUCAUUAUGCUAUCAAGUUAGGACCAUAAGUAUUAUUUCAGAGAAAGAAAUGCACCUCCCAAGGCCAAAAAAACAAAAAAAGAAGAAGAAAAAAAAAAAAGACAGCUUGCUGCUUUAGGAGGUGGGAUAAAACUAACUUCAGAAAAAUCCAGUCCAAGCAGCACACAGUGCAACAUAUGGCUCUUUUCUGAAAGAUGGUUUAAGAAUCCCCUCAAUGCAAGCAAAAUGAUUCUAUACUAACAACCAACUUUUAUCCAAAAAAUAUGAUAUUAAUUGAUAAAAACAACAACAAGUGGACAGCCUUAGUCAGUAACAUCAGAUUCCACAAUCUAAAGCAGUCUGAAGGGAUAAAGGCAGAUGAAGGGGGGAGGUGCGUGUGCAAUAUCCUAACAAAGGAAACACUGUUCCCUAUUAAACAUGAGGGGCGGCGCAAACAUUCAUGAAGAAAGUUUAGUUUAAUAGACCUUAGAGAAGCAUGACAGUACGGCAGAAUUGGGUGGCACCUCAUGCCUCCUGCAAGAAUCAAGAUACCUAGCACAAAAAGAGAACGCAAUCUGAGAAUCAAUAAGAAUCUAAAAGUACAAGGAUUCAGAGAGCAAAAGCCACUAUCAACACCAGCAUCAAGAAAUCAAGCUUUUGAAAAUACUUGCAACUAUCAACCAAUGGAACGAGUCCAAACAUGAAAUGUUCUACAAAACAAAAGUAUUUGAAGCCAGAAUACUAAUAAUUCCACAAAUUUACUUUGCCAAAUAUCAAUAAAGGCAACAACAAGACUCAUAUUCUCAUAGAAACUAUAAAAUUUUCUAAAAAAAACUUAAUUGGCCAGUAAAAAGUUCCCAGAAAAUUUUAAUUAUGAUUCUUUUUUCUUUUUUUGGGUAUGUGAAAUUGUACAUUAGUUCAAUCAUUACUAAUCAAUCAAUCCAACUAGCUGACAGUAAUAUUUAGUUUAGUUAAUGUCGCUUUGAAUUUUGAAGAUUCUUCCCGCUACUGAUCAGAGAAAAGGAAUAGAUCAAAGGGAAGGUUAGCUUUGUGAACUAAUUUAUGCAAAGAUACUAGCUUUGAAUCUGAAAUAGAAAAAAAAAUCAUGUUUUGCUUUGUGGGUGUCCACAGAGGAUCUCUCUCUUUUGCUAAUUUCAGUCAUUUAUGUAAAAAAGCUGUAACAAUUGCCAACACUUUCUCUAAGCACUUGCCACCUGCUACUAAUUUUCCUUUGCCUCUUUUGGCUAAUUCCAUUCGUAACUCCCAUCAUUGGUUAACCUCCCAAAAUACCACGUCUAAAUUUCUCUUGAAAGCUGUACCAAACCCACCAAUCCUUUAACUCUUAAAUCCAUGAUUCAGUAGGAAAAAAAAAACAAAACACAGACAAGAAACCAGAAAACCCAGAAGAGAAAAAAAUUAAAGAAAGAAAAAGAUUUAAUUAGAGAUCAAUAUCAUACCGAGCUUCUAAGGUGGAGAUAUCCAUGCAAAUGAUUGGUGACUGUAGCUUUGCUUCUUCUAGUUCUUCACAUUAAUGGCGAAAAAAAUGAAGUCAAUGGAUCUAAGACACGGGAAAUAUUGCUAACAGUGUCAAAAACACAUGUCGAAUGGAUAAGCACACCUGUUCUUAAUUCUAAAUUCUAACAUUACUCAGUGCAGGAAGAGAAAGUGAAAUUUCAACCAAAUAAUAUUCGACAAGAUUACCUUUAGAAGUUAGGACCAUCAUCAAAUGGCCAUUAUGUAUUUGAGUCACGCAAUUAUAAUACAAAUAGUUUUUACAAGUUUAAUUUAUAAUUAUAUUUGUCGUUAUUUAUUUAUUGAAUGAUAAUCUAUUAUUCAAUUUGCUAAAAAAAUGUAUCGUUAGUCAUUGCUAAUUAAUGAUUAACUAUUAUUGGAUUUUGAAAAGCUAUUCUAAUGCUUAAAUUAUUAAAUUCUCCAAUCAAUUCGCAGUUUAAAAAGAUAUUUAAUAUUUUUUAUUUUUAUUAAUGAAAUAUAUCUAUAUACAUUGAAUUAUGUGCGAUGUAAUUAAUCUCUUACAUCCUAUAAAUAUAAUAAAUAUAGAAAGUGUAAGAUAUUUGGUUAGAUUUCUUUUAUUUGGUAAUCUCCUAAAAAAAAAAUCUAUAUAUAUAUAUAUAUAUAUUUUUUUUUUUUAUGGAGGUAAAAUUUAAAAAAAAAUGUGUAAAAUAACUCAACUACCUUUUGUUAUCAUAUGGAAAAAAAUAAUUAAAAUUAAUUUUUUUUAAACUUUGGUAAGGGAACGGAACUGUAAACAUUCUUAAUUAUAUCAAGUGAACACCACCAAGUUAACACAUAAAUAUUAUAAUCUUCAAUCAUUGUAUAAUUUUGUAUAUUAGAAAAUGAAUUAAGUUAAAUUAUUUUAGUGGAUCCUGUGGCUUUUAUUUUUGUCACGAUUUGUCAAAUCAAUGCCCAACUACUAACUAAGAUGUUGACAACAUUGUUAAUAUAAAAAGAUCAUUAAUCAUGUUAGAAAAUGAAAAUAAGCUUGUUAGAAAUAUGUCAAAUAAAAUACUUAUUUCUCAUUUUUUUUGUAUGAAAAAAUAGAGAAGAAAAUAAAUAAAAUUAAUUUCUGAGUAAUAUUUGAAGUUCACCAUCAAAUAAAAUUAGUUGUUUGAUUUGAAUUUGUUCUAAUGAGUUAAUAUUUCCCAACUAAUUAUCAAAUUUCUUUAUCUAUCCCUAGAAGGUGUAGAAUAUGGAAGGAUAAUUAAUUGAAGGUUUUGAUUGGGCCUAAAAAUGAAUGUUAGUAUCUUAGAGAAAAAAAGAAAAAGAAAAAAAAAAGCUCAGUGGUAGAAUAACGGUGGUUGACAACCACAUUUUGCACUGAUCAUCAUCGUCAUCAUCAUCAUUAUGUAAUAAAUGAGAAUAGUGGAUGUUGACAUGACAUUGUGUUUGAGAGUGAAACUCUCUAAAAUUUAAAUAUUUUGUUUUAACUUAGUUAAGAAAAUUUGAAGAUUUUAAAGAGAAAACGUGUCUCCCUUAACUCUUUCUCUCUCUACUUUAUAACUUUUAUGAAUUUUUAAAUAAUACUAACUCAUUUAAAAUUAAUCUCUAAUUUAUAUCUUUUAAAUAUAAUGGCUCUUGAAUAAUAACUCUUUUAAAAUUACUCUCUAAUUUAUUACUUUUAAAUAUAAUGGCUCUUGAAGUUCUCUUAUAAUUUUAAAUUUUCAAUUAGUUCAAUAUUAUUAGGUUAAGAAUGUUAGGAAUAAAAUUAUACAAAAUAAGUUUGAGAUAAAAUUUUAAUAUUGAGUUUGUUGUAUAUUAAUAUUAAUAUUGUUGGUGCAAAAAGGUAAUAAUUAUAUGGAUUUUGGAUCCGCAAAGUAAAAAUUAACCAAAAAUAAAUACUUGCAAUUAAUAUAUUUUUUGCAUGUGCUAAAUUAAUUUUGAGAUAAAAUUUUAGCAUUAAAUUUUUUCUAUAUUAAUAUUGCAAAUGAAAAUAGGUAUUAGCUAUAUGGAGUUUGGACGAGUAAAUGCAGAAAUUGUUCAAAAAUAAAUAUUUGCAACUAGUAUUAUUUUUGCAUGUGCUUUUAUCUAAUAAUGAUGAUAUAACCAUUUUGAUUUGAAUAAACUUUUUUACGUUCUUUAUUUUCGUUCACCUGCUAUCUUAAAAAUCAUGUUUCACCUUAAUUAGCGUAAACAAUUUUAAUUCUACACGAUAAUAUUUAAGUUUAAAUCAUGAAAUAUUAUAAAGCUCUGCGAAACAUAGAAAAUUGCAUAGUUAAAAAUUAAAGUAUAAAGUUAUAUUAGGAAGCCUCCUGUGUUUACUAAUAAUUAGAUAUGAGAAAUGAUGAAAAAGGCUAGGAGCUCUCCUAAUCUAUGUCAUAAUAACUCUCAUCUUUAAGAAUUUUGAUGUAUUUUAAAAAAUAAAUAAAUAAUAACAAUUAGACAAGGAUGAUUAGUUGAUCAUGAACACACGAGUAAUAUAUUAAUUGAAUAAUGACAAUUUACAAUAAUUAUUAUAUAAUAGAAAUAAUUGAAAUAUUAAAAAUUGGUUCCGGUAAUUGAUCAAGUCGACUAAUUCAAUCACGGAUAGCCAGUUCAAUUAGAUUCUCUUUCUUAAAUGAUGCAAAAGCCAAAUGGAUCCAAUUUUAAAAUUAGUUCACCAAAUUUUCGAGUUAAUUUUUUUUUUUUUUUUUUAAGAGAAAAUUAUGCUUGCACCUUUUAGUUGCGUUGAAUUUAAAGUUUGGUUAAAUUGCAAUUAUACCAUAAUAUUUAAAGCUUCUUUAAGGAAAAACUGAAGGUUGGGAAGUUAAAAUGUAUAAGGUUGAAUUUCUCUCCACACCUUAAAUAAUAAAGUUGUACUAUAAUAUUAUACUCUCUUUAUCCAAAUUAUAAUAAACUCAAAAUAACUUACAAAAAAAUAUUUAAUUUAAUAUAAAUAAUAAUAUGAUUAAAAAAAUAUUUAUUAAUUUUUUAAAUAAUCAAUACGUCUUAUAUUUUAAAAUAAAAUAAUCGCAAUUUAUAUUUAGUAGGGCAAAAAAAGUGCUACCGUUGCCAAAGGAUAAGAUUGAAGCUAAUUAGGCAAAACAUUUACACGCUUUGGUCAAAAUCCUUAAGUACGCGGCUAGCCAAUAUGGAAGCACCCAAACUAUUAACCAGUCUUUCACGUGUGGUCGCGCAAGUCCGUGCGUGUGCGCGCAUGCGCAUGCUUGUGUGUGCGUGUGUCCAUGAUUAUAUUUAGCUUGGUUUGGUAGGAUGAAUAUUGCUACUUUAAAAAAAUAAAAAUAAAAAUAAAAAUUGAUUCAUAUAAUAAAAAAAUUGAGUCAUUUAAUUGAAUAAGAACAUAAAAAUCACACUCUCUCUUCCUUCGUGAUUUACAAGAUAUUUAUGAAAGAAACAAAAAUAAGAAUUUGGAGGAGAAAGCAAGUUGUAGAAAAAGACAGAGAUGCAAGAAAGAAAACUUGUGAAGCACGUGUGCCACCCAAAGGAAUAUCUUAUGGAAAUUGAAAAGGAUUGUACAUUGGCUAACGAAUAAUUAGGCAAUUAGCCUACUAUGAUGGCUUAAUUAAAUUAUUAAUUGACUCGGUAAACUGAUCAAUUAACAAGUAAUUAUAAAAUAGUGGAUCUCCAUUUUAUACUUUUUCUUCUCAUAUACAAUUUUAAAUUUCUACUCAUCAUUUUAAAUUUGGUAAACGGCAGUGGAGUCAAUAUAUAAUUAAUUUUGAAAUGAUAUUCAUAUAAUAAUCAAAUAAGUUCAAAUUAAGUAAAAAUCUAAUUAAUUAAUUAGUAACUUCAAACAUAUACUACUAACCAUUUUGUUUUAGAUUAGUUCAUGAGAAAUUUGUAUAUCUAUAUUGAACUUGAAAUAAAAAUAAAGUUCACUCUUUAUUUAGCAUAGUAUUUUACCCUUUUUGUAAAUUUUUAUUUUUUUUUUCCUUAUUUUUUAUAUUUUAAUUCAACCACUUAAGGUAUCUUUAAAGUUUUAAAAUUAAUAUUUUUUUAUAAUAAUUUAUAUUGAUAUCUAUAUUUUUAAAUCCAUAUAUCUAUGUGUAUUUAUAUCCACACAUAUUUUAUAUAUCAAUUCAUAUCUAAAUCUAUAUAUCUAUAUUAAAGCUGAAUAAAAAAAAAGUUAUAAAUUCGAUUAUCCUUUUUCUUAUAUUCUUUUCCUUUAAAAUUUUUUAAAUUAUUUCUUUAUUUUUCUAUAUUUGAUUGAGCUAGUUAACAAUAUUUUUAAAAUCUUUCUAUCUAUUCAAGCCAAGAUAAAGUAAAAGUUCAAAAUUUGAUUUUCGCUUCAUUUAGUAUUUUGCUUUUUUCUUUUCAAGAAAGUUUUUGACUUUUUAUUUUUAUGUAUUUAUUUUACCGUCUAGGAUAGUUUUUUAAAGUUUAAAAAUUGUGCGUGUGUAUGUGAGAGAGAUAUAUAUUAGGAUGCUUUGUUAAUAUUAUCAUGGUUUUAAUAAAUGAUAUGUCAUUUGUGUCACGUGUAUAGUAAGUACUCUCUUAAAAAAAAAAAAGUUAUUUAUAAUAAUUACGAAUGAAAAUCUAAUAUAUUAAUUAUAUAUCAUUAAAAAAAUACUGAAAGUUCAUAGCUAGUUCUAUUUGUUGGUUUUUAAUAUUUAAAAUUUCAAUUAUUAUAUUAUUUUGAGAUAUUUAUUUAUUUAUUUUUUUGAGUAUUGGGGGAGAGGGAUUUGAAUCCAAAUCUAUUGCUGGGUCGUAUAUGCACUUAUCACUAGAUUAGGAUAAUAAUUAUUUAAGUUUGAAAGUUACUAUUUAUUUAUAAUAAUAUUAGAAAAAUAAUCAUAUUAAUUAAGUCAAAAUUAAAAAAUGUCAAAACUGCCCUCCCUUUAAUUUUACAAUUUUACUUGCAUUCUACUCUAUAGAGUAAAGUAUUCAGUUUCUUGAUUUUGAGCUUAAAUGCACUAAUUACGCUGUAUUUAAUUAGCUCUGAAACUGAAAGUUUUGUUUGAAAUUCUUGUCCUUGAUUUUUGCCUCAGCUGAAACAGUAUAUCUGCUUGGAUUGAAAAUACAAAAGCCUUAUACCCAAUCAUAUUGGGCUUAGCCCAUACAUAUCUAUCCAACUCCAACAUUAACCCUUUCGAGAUCAUUAACAUGAUUGGAUUUGGCUCAAUAUCAUUAUUAUCGGUAGAGAUGUCAUUUUCAAAACAAAAGGGAAAAAGAUACUCGAGCUUCUCAAGUUAGUUUUAGGAUUAUACAUUUGUAAGUUCAAAACUAAUCUAAACUUAGUUAAUCAAAUUGAGGUUUUAAUUUAUUUUUUUGUCUUUCCAAAUUAAUCCUACCAUGCUCUAGUCCAGGAGCACAAGGGGGAAUAAUAAAUUCAAGCUUCCUCCUUUCAAUUUUAAAAGAUAUUCCAUAUUAUCAUAAUCUUUUUUUCGUUAAUUAUGAUUUUCAAACUAUUUUUGAUUUGAGAGAGAAGAGAAAGAACCCACUAUCCAAAAGAAAAACUAUAUAUUAGAGAUUAAAUUAGGAAAGUAAGAACUAUAUCGUAUCAGUUUAAAUGGGUAGAGUAAGGCCAUAAAUGAUUUAUAUAAUUAUCAAUGGCUUAAAAGGAAUGAUAAAAAUAGUUGUACUACUAAUAUAAGAAAAUUUUAUGAUUUUAUCAUUAUAUUUUGUCAUAAUAUAUAAAUUGCUUGCAUUUUUCAGAAAUGCAUACUUUUGUUUUUAUCUUCUCUAUUUCUGUCGAUUUUUUAUACUUUUUUUCGUCAAUAAAUACUACUAUGUUUUUCAUAUAUUUUGUUAAAAUUUACAAUUUAUCCAUUUAUGUAUCAAUUAUUGUCUACAUAUUUCGCUAAAAUUAAGUAGCAAAAUUAAGUAAUUAUCCCUAUAUUUAAUAGAAGGUAGAAAAAAUUAACAUAAGAUACAUCAGUGUGUAACGGAUGAGGUAAAAAAUAUGGAUAAAAUUAUAUAUCUCUAAAUAAAAAAUAAAAUUAUUCGAAUCCAAUCGAUUACAGAUGUUUUUAUCAAUUUAAUAAGCAAGAGGAAAACUACCCCUACCCUUAUUACAUAAUGCAAAUAUUAAACAUUGCUUACCAAUAAUAAUACAUAUUCUUUGUAUUGGAUGCAGAUAAAAGCUUUACCUCAACAAAGAAAAUCUUUAACACCAAAAUGGUAGGGCUCUGACCAAAUGCCAGAAUCAAGAUAAACAAUCAUGCCAUCAAAUCAACUUGCUUUUCUUUCUUUUCUUUUUUUCCAUAAUUACCUUGCCCUUCCUUUUCUCUAUCAAACUGUAAUUUUUAGAUGACAAACAACCAGAGAUAACUACUCUUUUUUGUUUCUCUCUUUUAAUCUUUUGUUAGUUUUUAACUGAAACAAUUAAAGAAUAAAGCCAAACAUAUGAAAAAGCAAACGCAAGAACAGGCUGUUAAGAAAAGAAAGAAAGGAAAGAACAAAAGAGAGGCUCCCAAUAGAAUAAUCCAAAAUAUAUAAAAUGACAGUGAAUAGAAAACUACAAAAAUACAGAGUUUUUCCCCCCACACAGCUCUCCCUCCCUGUCCCUCAAAGAAUACUGAAUACAAAGCAAAUGUGGUUAAUCCCCAGGCAGAAAAAACCAAACCACUGGCCAGUAAGAUAUAGCAAUAAUUUAACAAAACAAUGGUAAUCAAAUAAAAAUAUCAAAUGGUGAGUCCGUAAAUAAAGAAGAAGAGCAUGUGGGGGACAAAAGAUUAAAAUAAUUUAACACCAAUAGCAAUAAUGGACAUUAUAAAACAUAUCUCUCUGUUUUGAUCUCUAGAAGAUCAAAGUCAUUGCUGCCCAUCCCAAUGCCAAGCCUCCGAGCAUCUUCUGUACUGACCUUAUCGAUUCUGAUCCGCUCUGCAAUUUGGAUCAAAAUUCAUUUUCAUAAUCCAGAUGUUAAGAAGAAUAAAUAAACUUGCAUAAAUUUCUACUUUAAUAAUUAUUCACGAGAAUGUUGUUGCCUCUCCCCGUUGGGAAGUUAAUGAUCUGAAAUUCUGAUGUUGAAAUUUCAAUGUUCGGUUUAGAGAAACAAUAAAUACACAUUCAUUAGAAAACCAUUAGCUUGAGAAUUAUUCGAUUCAAGAUAGAUCCUCCUUACGGGAAGUGAAACCGCUUUGUGCCAUAGAUUUUUAUUACUAUUGCAUUAAAACCUUUCAUCAACAGUUAUAAUUUUAUUAAUUAAAAGGACUUGCCCACUGUACUAAUAAAAUUAAUCACCUCCACAUUAAUGUUCUGCAGAUCCACGGAUGACACAGUGCAAUUCACUGUCAUUUGUACUACAGUGAUGGGGCGUGAAUCUUACGCGCCACAGUGUCGCGUUCAUCUCACUAGAGACAAGCGCUUACCACCAGAAGCAGUACUUGAGAAGCGCCAAGCUUUGCUUCCACUAAGCAGUUAUAAGGCAGCACCGACAUUUAGCAUUUCAAUAAUGGAUUAACUUGAGGGGCAAUAAUCCGGUCAUUUUAGGAAAUUUAAGCAUUCUUCACUAAUUUAGGCUCGGUGACCACUAACGAUAUCUAGAUUUUUUUCUAGUGCUAAAGAGGGAAAACACAGACCAUGGAUCUUUGCAUUAAACUUCAGAUCUGGAGGUGCAUUGCACUCCAGCGCAUGUCAGAUGGUAAGCCAAUCGGAAAAACAACUAAAACGAGCACUGGAAAGUAGAAAGUACCUCAUCGGCCACAGAAGCGGGACCAGGAGAGCUGGCGUCAAGGCUCGGUCCAGGUGCCUCCGUCGGUGGAGCUGGUGGACUCGACAACUCCGGACCAGGAGCAGGUGAAGCAGCGUGCUUCUUCGACUUUUUCUUGGUUGGAGUCGGUGCAGGAACCUCGGCGGUUGGCGCAGCCACUGGAGCUGAAGGAGCAGUUUCCGGAGGAGAGCUUGUUGGUGGAGUAACUGGUGCUGGUGAUGGAGGAGAUUGGGCCGGAGAUUUUGCUGGAGUUUUUGCUGGAGGAGAGCUCACUGGAACUGCAACAGGUGGUGAACUAAUAGGAGCGGCGGCAAGUGGUGGUGUAGCUACCGGAGCCGCAGCCGGAGCUGGCACCUUCUGUUUGGUCGGAGAAGCUGCUGGUGUCUUCGCUGGUGGUGAAGACACUGGAACUGCAACAGGAGCAGGCGAUUUAGAUUUUGCUGGUGCUUUAGCAGGUGCAGUUACAGGCGCUGCAGGAGCCAACGGAGUAGCAGUCGGUGCUGCACCUGGAGCUUGGCCGCCGACGCCGGCGACAAUGAUGCACAUUAAUGCAACAGAAAAAACGCUUUUGCGAUCCAUCUUGGCAGAGGAGAGAGAGAGAGAGAGAGAGAGAGAGAGAG
rnacentral:lncRNA from 1 species